rnacentral:rRNA from 1 species
UCAAGCCAGUAAGGGCAUACGGUGGAUGACUUGGCGUCAAGAGGCGAUGAAAGACGUUGGAACCUGCGAAAAGCUACAGGGAGCUGGUAACCGAGCUGUGAUCUGUAGAUAUCUGAAUGGGGCAACCCACCCGCAAGGGUAUCGCAUACUGAAUGCAUAGGUAUGCGAGGCAAACCCAGGGAACUGAAACAUCUAAGUACCUGGAGGAAAGGAAAGCAACAUGCGACUCCGUAAGUAGCGGCGAGCGAAAGCGGAUAGAUGUGAGCACUAUGAACACGUUGGAAUGCGUGACCAAAGACGGUGAUAGUCCGGUAGUGGUAGGUAGCAUCAUAGCUCUAGAGUAGGCUCGGGCUCGUGGAACCCGGGUUGAAUAUGGGAGGUCCACCUUCCAAGGCUAAGUACUCCUUGACGACCGAUAGCGAAGAAGUAAAGUGAUUGAAAGUUUAAAAGUACCCCUAUUAGGGGGGUGAAAUAGACCUGAAACCGUGUGCCUACAAGCGGUCGGAGCCCUACGGGGUGACGGCGUGCUUUUUGCAUAAUGAGCCCGCGAGUUAGUCUCAGUGGCGAGCUUAAGGCCUAACGGGCCGGAGGCGGAGCGAAAGCGAGUCUGAAUAGGGCGUAUAGUCGCUGGGACUAGACACGAAACCCGUGUGAUCUACCCAUGGCCAGGGUGAAGGUGGGGUAAAACCCGCUGGAGGCCCGAACCCGUCAUCGUUGAAAAGAUGUGGGAUGAGCUGUGGGGAGGGGUCAAAGUCCAAUCAAACCGGGAGAUAGCUUGUUCUCACCGAAAUAACUUUAGGGUUAGCCUCAAGAAGCAACUGUUGGGGGUAGAGCUACUGGAUGCGUGGUGGGCCCGUCUAGGGUACCCCAUGCAACCAAACUCCGAAUACCAACAGCCAAGUCUUGGGAGAUAGACUGCGAGUGAAAAUAUCCGUAGUCAAAAGGAGAAUAAUCCAGAUCGCCGGCUAAGGUCCCCAAAUCAUGCUUAGUUCUUAAGGAGGUCAGACUGCCGUGACAACCAGGAUGUUGGCUUAGAAGCAGCCACCAUUUAAAGAGUGCGUAAUAGCUCACUGGUCGAGGAGUUUGGCGCCGAUAAUGAUCGGGAAUAAGCAUGAUACCGAAGCCGCGGACUUCGUAAGAAGUGGUAGGUGAGCGUUCCAUUCAGCUUUGAAGGUGUCCGGAAACGGAUGCUGGAGCGUAUGGAAGUGAAUAUGCGGGCUUGAGUAACGAUAAAAAGGGUGAGAAUCCCUUUCGCCGUAAGUCUAAGGUUUCCUGGGGAAGGUAAAUCCGCCCAGGGUUAGCCGGGUCCUAAGGCGAGGCCGAAAGGCGUAGUCGAUGGAUAACAGGUCAACAUUCCUGUACCGGUUAUGUUUUGGGAAGAGGGACGGAGAAGGCUAGCCAAGCCAGAUGUUGGUUACUGGUUCAAGCGUUCGAGGCGUUGAGGAUCGGCGAAAACGAUCCGAGCUGAGGCGUGAGUACGAGCUGCUACGGCAGCGAAGUUGGUGAUGUCAUGCUUCCAAGAAAAGCUCUAUACCCGUUAAGGCAUAACUGCCAGUACCCGAAACCGACACAGGUGGGGUGGUAGAGAAUACCGAGGUGCGCGAGGUAACUCUCUCUAAGGAACUCGGCAAAAUGGCCCCGUAACUUCGGGAGAAGGGGUGCCACAGCAAUGUGGUCGCAGUGAAGAGGCCCUGGCGACUGUUUACCAAAAACACAGGUCUCCGC